rnacentral:rRNA from 1 species
ACGGAAGGCAGCAGUGAGGAAUAUUGGUCAAUGGGCGGGAGCCUGAACCAGCCAAGUAGCGUGAGGGAUGACGGCCCUAUGGGUUGUAAACCUCUUUUGACAGGGAAUAAAGUGAGCCACGUGUGGUUCAUUGCAUGUACCUGUGGAAUAAGGAUCGGCUAACUCCGUGCCAGCAGCCGCGGUAAUACGGAGGAUCCGAGCGUUAUCCGGAUUUAUUGGGUUUAAAGGGAGCGUAGGCGGGAUGUCAAGUCAGCUGUGAAAUGUAGUCGCUCAACGUCUGCACUGCAGUUGAAACUGGUGUUCUUGAGUGCGUAAGAGGCAGGUGGAAUUCGUCGUGUAGCGGUGAAAUGCAUAGAUAUGACGAAGAACUCCGAUUGGGAAGCCAGCUUACUGUAGCGCCACUGACGCUGAUGCUCGAAAGCGUGGGUAUCGAACAGGAUUAGAUACCCUGGUA